CGUGGUAGCAAGUUUUAAAAGAAAACGGUUUUCGUGUGGAAAACAGUUUUUAAAAGAUUUUCUUGGUUUUCAUGAUUUAGUGUUUUAAAACGAGUUUCUGGGUAGGAAACAUUUUAAACUAAUAGUUGUGGAUUUAUGAAUAAAUCUGAUUAUGAAUAUGAUUGUGAAUGGUGUUUGAUUAUGUAUAUGUGCAUAUGCAUGGUUGUAUCCUGUAUGGUAA
rnacentral:lncRNA from 1 species